GACGAACGCUGGCGGCGUGCUUAACACAUGCAAGUCGAACGGAAAGGCCCUGCUUUUGUGGGGUGCCCGAGUGGCGAACGGGUGAGUAACACGUGAGUAACCUGCCCUUGACUUUGGGAUAACUUCAGGAAACUGGGGCUAAUACCGGAUAGGAGCUCCUGCUGCAUGGUGGGGGUUGGAAAGUUUCGGCGGUUGGGGAUGGACUCGCGGCUUAUCAGCUUGUUGGUGGGGUAGUGGCUUACCAAGGCUUUGACGGGUAGCCGGCCUGAGAGGGUGACCGGCCACAUUGGGACUGAGAUACGGCCCAGACUCCUACGGGAGGCAGCAGUGGGGAAUAUUGCACGAUGGGCGGAAGCCUGAUGCAGCAACGCCGCGUGCGGGAUGACGGCCUUCGGGUUGUAAACCGCUUUCGCCUGUGACGAAGCGUGAGUGACGGUAAUGGGUAAAGAAGCACCGGCUAACUACGUG
rnacentral:rRNA from 1 species